AUCAAAACAGCUCCCCCUGUCAGUCAUGUAGGGUCAUGGCAUCAAAACAGCUCCCCCUGUCAGUCAUGUAGGGUCAUGGCAUCAAAACAGCUCCCCCUGUCAGUCAUGUAGGGUCAUGGCAUCAAAACAGCUCCCCCUGUCAGUCAUGUAGGGUCAUGGCAUCAAAACAGCUCCCCCUGUCAGUCAUGUAGGGUCAUGGUAUCAAAACAGCUCCCCCUGUCAGUCAUGUAGGGUCAUGGCAUCAAAACAGCUCCCCCUGUCAGUCAUGUCAACAGCACUGCACCCCCCACAGCAACUCGCCCAAGCCUUCCCCAUUUAUCCUUCUCCCAAAUCCAUUCAGCUGAUGUUCUGAAAGAGCUGCAAAAUCUGGACCCCUACAAAUCAGCCGGGCUAGACAAUCUGGACCCUUUCUUUCUAAAAGUAUCUGCCGAAAUUGUUGCAACCCCUAUUACUAGCCUGUUCAACCUCUCUUUCAUGUCGUUUGAGAUUCCCAAAGAUUGGAAAGCAGCUGCGGUCAUCCCCCUCUUCAAAGGGGGGGACACUCUUGACCCAAACUGCUACAGACCUAUAUCUAUCCUACCCUGCCUCUCUAAAGUCUUCGAAAGCCAAGUCAACAAACAGAUUACUGACCAUUUCGAAUCCCACCGCACCUUCUCCGCUAUGCAAUCUGGUUUCAGAGCUGGUCAUGGGUGCACCUCAGCCACGCUCAAGGUCCUAAGAAACAGUACUGUGCAGCCGUAUUCAUUGACCUGGCGAAGGCUUUCGACUCUGUCAAUCACCACAUCCUCAUCGGCAGACUCAGCAGCCUUGGUUUCUCUAAUGACUGCCUCGUCUGGUUCACCAACUACUUCUCUGAUAAAGUUCAGUGUGUCAAAUCGGAGGGCCAGUUGUCCGGGCCACUGGCAGUCUCUAUGGGAGUGCCACAGGGUUCAAUUCUUGGGCCGACUCUUUUCUCUGUAUACAUCAAUGAUGUCGCUCUUGCUGCUGGUGAGUCUCUGAUCCACCUCUAUGCAGACGACACCAUUCUGUAUACUUCUGGCCCUUCUUUGGACACUGUGUUAACUACCCUCCAGACGAGCUUCAAUGCCAUACAACUCUCCUUCCGUGGCCUCCAACUGCUCUUAAAUACAAGUAAAACUAAAUGCAUGCUCUUCAACCGAUCGCUGCCUGCACCUACCCGCCCGUCCAGCAUCACUACUCUGGACGGUUCUGACUUAGAAUAUGUGGACAACUACAAAUACCUAGGUGUCUGGUUAGACUAAACUCUCCUUCCAGACUCACAUCAAACAUCUCCAAUCCAGAGUUAAAUCUAGAAUUGGCUUCCUAUUUCGCAACAAAGCAUCUUUCACUCAUGCUGCCAAACAUACCCUCGUAAAACUGACCAUCCUACCGAUCCUCGACUUCGGCGAUGUCAUUUACAAAAUAGCCUCCAAUACCCUACUCAAUAAAUUGGAUGCAGUCUAUCACAGUGCCAUCCGUUUUGUCACCAAAGCCCCAUAUACUACCCACCACUGCGACCUGUACCCUCUCGUUGGCUGGCCCUCGCUUCAUACUCGUCGCCAAUCCCACUGGCUCCAGGUCGUCUACAAGUCUUUGCUAGGUAAAGCUCCGCCUUAUCUCAGCUCACUGGUCACCAUAGCAGCACCCACUCGUAGCACGCGCUCCAGCAGGUAUAUCUCUCUGGUCACCCCCAAAGCCAAUUCCUCCUUCGGCCGCCUCUCCUUCCAGUUCUCUGCUGCCAAUGACUGGAACGAACUACAAAAAUCUCUAAAACUGGAAAUACUUAUCUCCCUCACUAGCUUUAAGCACCAGCUGUCAGAGCAGCUCACAGAUUACUGCACCUGUACAUAGCCCAUCUAUAAUUUAGCCCAAACAACUACCACUUCCCCUACUGUAUUUAUUUAUUUUGCCUUUGCACCCCAUUAUUUCUAUUUCUACUUUGCACUUUCUUCCACUGCAAAUCUACCAUUCCAGUGUUUUUUAGUUGCUAUAUUGUAUUUACUUCGCCACCAUGGCUUUUUUUUCCUUUACCUCCCUUACCUCACCUCAUUUGCUCACUUUGUAUAUAGACUUAUUUUUCUAAUAUAUUAUUGACUGUAUGUUUGUUUUACUCCAUGUGUAACUCUGUGUUGUUGUUUGUGUCAAACUGCUUUGCUUUAUCUUGGCCAGGUCGCAAUUGUAAAUGAGAACUUGUUCUCAACUUGCCUACCUGGUUAAAUAAAGGUGAAAUAUAUAUAUAUAUAUUUUUUAAAUGUAGGGUCAUGGCAUCAAAACAGCUCCCCCUGUCAGUCAUGUAGGGUCAUGGCAUCAAAACAGCUCCCCCUGUCAGUCAUGUAGGGUCAUUAUACAUCAUUGUACAGUAUUCAUGUCAGUUCCAAGCCUCUGCUUUUAUCAUUCAACACUUCUCCUGUUGUAGCACCAGGAGGCAGUAUUCUCCAAGGUAUCACCGUAUGGAGGAGGAUAACAUGAAGCUGAAGAACACAGAAAGGAAUUCAUCAACAAAUAGAUGAAGAAAUGCAUCACAUUAAUAAAUGAUUAACUGAAGGAACAGGUGAAUGAACAGUUGUUCAUUCACAAACAUUUUAAAAGGAAACUCCAGUUCAUGCGCUUGACACAACGGUUUCCUUAACUCUUCAAAAACGCUUCCUCACAAUCUUGACUCCGCUCUUUUCUCUCAAGGGGAACCCUCCUCCCUUUUCGUCAAUUCUGUAAGAGGUUCAGCUAUUUCAGAAUAAGACAGAUUAAGGUUUCUCAUUAAAUUAAACCCCCCCCAGGGUUUGUCUGAGCGUUCGAGGAGUGUUUGGUCAUGCCAGAGCACGAAUGGUGUUGAUGUGUGGUGCUAGUAAUGUUUGUCAUGCCUUUAGAAAUCAAGACCACCUAAUACAUUUCCUCCUGUUUGCCAAUUGGCCUUUUUUCAUACGACGCUUCAUGGUCCUGCUUUGCCAAAUAGUUAGUUAACCGGUGUGGUGAGGCCACGUAUGUAAGUAUCAUGGUCUUUUGAGGCUAAAAACAAAUCAUCCAAGUACUGCACUAGAACGAUAUCCUCUAAAUUUACACCCUUUCAGGGAUUCCUUCACGUCUUUAAAAUGGAACCCGAACCAUUGCCGAAACUCCUCAUCUGCAUUCUGCCUAUCUAUCUAUCACGCUGUAGCAUUCUGCCUAUCUAUCUAUCACGCUGUAGCAUUCUGCCUAUCUAUCACGCUGUAGCAUUCUGCCUAUCUAUCUAUCACGCUGUAGCAUUCUGCCUGUCUAUCACGCUGUAGCAUUCUGCCUAUCUAUCACGCUGUAGCAUUCUGCCUGUCUAUCACGCUGUAGCAUUCUGCCUGUCUACCACGCUGUAGCAUUCUGCCUGUCUAUCACGCUGUAGCAUUCUGCUUGUCUAUCUAUCACGCUGUAGCAUUCUGCCUAUCUAUCUAUCACGCUGUAGCAUUCUGCCUAUCUAUCACGCUGUAGCAUUCUGCCUAUCUAUCUAUCACGCUGUAGCAUUCUGCCUGUCUAUCACGCUGUAGCAUUCUGCCUAUCUAUCACGCUGUAGCAUUCUGC
rnacentral:lncRNA from 1 species